UACGUAGGUGGCAAGCGUUGUCCGGAUUUACUGGGCGUAAAGAGCGCGCAGGCGGUCGUUCAAGUCGCGUGUGAAAGCCCCCGGCUCAACUGGGGAGGGUCACGCGAUACUGAUCGACUCGAAGGCAGGAGAGGGUAGUGGAAUUCCCGGUGUAGUGGUGAAAUGCGUAGAUAUCGGGAGGAACACCGGUGGCGAAGGCGGAUCUCUGGGCCUUACCUGACGCUCAGGCACGAAAGCUAGGGGAGCGAACAGG
rnacentral:rRNA from 1 species